rnacentral:rRNA from 1 species
UAGGGAAUAUUGCAAAAUGGGCGAAAGCCCGAUGCAGCAACGCCGCGUGGGCGAUGAAGGCCUUCGGGUCGUAAAGCCCUUUUUGAGGGGGUGAGGAAGGACAGUACCCUCAGAAUAAGCCUCGGCUAACUACGUGCCAGCAGCCGCGGUAAAACGUAGGAGGCGAGCGUUAUCCGGAUUUACUGGGCGUAAAGCGCGUGCAGGCGGAUUGGAGAGUUGGAUGUGAAAGCUCCCGGCUUAACUGGGAGAGGUCGUUCAAUACUUCCAGUCUUGAGUGCAGUAGAGGGAAGGGGAAUUCCAGGUGUAGUGGUGAAAUGCGUAGAUAUCCGGAGGAACACCAGUGGCGAAAGCGGCUUCCUGGACUGUAACUGACGCUCAGACGCGAAAGCUAGGGUAGCAAACG